rnacentral:misc_RNA from 1 species
UUUCCGUAGGUGAACCUGCGGAAGGAUCACUCAUAAUAAGUGUUUUAUGGCACUUUUUAAAUCCAUAUCCACCUUGUGUGCAAUGUCAGUCAGUCUUCUUUAUGGAGAUCGGCCAAACAUCAACCUAAUUUUUUAACUCUUUGUCUAAAAAAUAUUAUGAAUAAAAUAAUUCAAAAUACAACUUUCAACAACGGAUCUCUUGGCUCUC